UGGAGAGUUUGAUCCUGGCUCAGGAUGAACGCUGGCGGCGUGCCUAAUACAUGCAAGUCGAGCGAACAGAUAAGGAGCUUGCUCCUUUGACGUUAGCGGCGGACGGGUGAGUAACACGUGGGUAACCUACCUAUAAGACUGGGAUAACUUCGGGAAACCGGAGCUAAUACCGGAUAACAUUUGGAACCGCAUGGUUCUAAAGUGAAAGAUGGUUUUGCUAUCACUUAUAGAUGGACCCGCGCCGUAUUAGCUAGUUGGUAAGGUAACGGCUUACCAAGGCRACGAUACGUAGCCGACCUGAGAGGGUGAUCGGCCACACUGGAACUGAGACACGGUCCAGACUCCUACGGGAGGCAGCAGUAGGGAAUCUUCCGCAAUGGGCGAAAGCCUGACGGAGCAACGCCGCGUGAGUGAUGAAGGGUUUCGGCUCGUAAAACUCUGUUAUUAGGGAAGAACAAAYGUGUAAGUAACUGUGCACRUCUUGACGGUACCUAAUCAGAAAGCCACGGCUAACUACGUGCCAGCAGCCGCGGUA
rnacentral:rRNA from 3 species